rnacentral:rRNA from 1 species
GACAGAGGUGCCCGAGCGUUAGGCGGAAUCACUAGGGCUUAAAGCGUGUGUAGGCGGAUGCCUAAGUACCUUGUGAAAUCCCAUGGCUCAACCAUGGAACUGCUUGGUAUACUGGGUGUCUUGAGCCAAUUAGGGGCUACCGGAACAAAGUGGUGGAGCGGUGAAAUGCGUAGAUAUCGGGGAGGAACACCUGUGGCGAAAGCGGCUCACUGGACCAUAACUGACGCGUGAUGACACGAAAGCCUGGGGGAGCAAACAGG